GCAGCCAAUCAGCGGCCGGCGCUCUUCCGGCUCCACGUCGGCAGCGGCGGAGGCAAAAUGGAGGCGCUGGUGCUGGAGCCGUCCCUGUACACGGUCAAGGCCAUCAUCAUCCUGGACAACGACGGCGAGCGGCUCUUCGCCAAGUACUACGAUGACACGUACCCCAGCGUGAAGGAGCAGCGCGCCUUCGAGAAAAACAUCUUCAGCAAAACGCACCGCAGUGACAGUGAGAUCGCGCUGCUGGACGGGCUCACCGUGGUGUACAGGGGUGGCA